AAAAAAAAUUCAGUAAAACACAUCAUCAACCAAAAUAAAUACUCACUGAGUCACCAAAGUCAGAAAUUCUUCGCAAAAAAAAAAAAAAAAAAAAAAGAUCUUUUUUUUUGCUUCACCUUGUCCAUUAUUCCACCAUAUUUUUUCUUCUCAUAAUUCCAGUAUCUCUCUGCCUCCUCAAUUCACUUCCAUUGUCAAAAAAUUUAUCAUUUUCACCAUUAACACGUAUCUCUUUCUCUCUCCUCUCUGUUUUUUAGCAUUUUUUUCAUCUCUCUUAUUAAAGUUCAUGUAUGUUUUGAGUUGAGUUUUAAGGAUCGUACUGAUCAUUUAUGGAGGGAAAAAAAAAGGAAGCAGAAGUGGCAAAUAGUAAUGAAGGAACCUUGCUUAUGUUGCAUCCCAUUUGCCAUUUCCCAAUAGGUGAGAAGACUUAUUCAGAUUUUAAUUAUGGAGCUAUGUGUCACAAAUGUACAGACACUCAGAUCUGUGAGGCAUUAUGAAAAGAUGGUUAGUUCAGAAACCUUCAAAAGUUUGUUUCAGCGAAUUAUAUUCAGUACUAUCAAAGUGAAGAUCAAAGAAGUCGGUAAUUAUAAGUGUUAUUGCUCUAGGUGUAGUAUUAAAGAAUUGGAAAGGGGAACAUUGGCUCAAGUACAUUUGUUAUUGCUCUCAAUUUGAUAAAUUAUGGGAUGCUUAGUUGAUUGGUUUUUUUUGCUUCUUUUAAAUACUCAUCUCGUUUUAUAAAGAUCUUCCUAUUUACAGUUA